rnacentral:lncRNA from 1 species
CAAUUUAUUGGUGUCUAAGGAAAGCAAUGGGGGGACCCCCACCUUACUUACCUGGCUAAUUUGAUUAAGCGAUCUUGAUAUUGAAAAAUCCUAAUGUUGAAAACACUAUUAAGGGCCUUCCUUCAUGCUAGGUUAAUGUUACAUCAUGAACUAUGGCUAGUUUGUUGUGUUAACAUGAGGCUUGUCAUAAGGAUUGAUAUAACAUAAUCUUGAUGCAUAGA